GACGAACGCUGGCGGCGUGCUUAACACAUGCAAGUCGAACGAUGAAGCUAGAGCUUGCUCUGGUGAAUUAGUGGCGAACGGGUGAGUAACACGUGAGUAACCUGCCCCGAACUCUGGGAUAACUGCUGGAAACGGUAGCUAAUACUGGAUACGACCUACGAAGGCAUCUUCUGUAGGUGGAAAGAAUUUCGGUUCGGGAUGGACUCGCGGCCUAUCAGCUUGUUGGUGAGGUAAUGGCUCACCAAGGCGACGACGGGUAGCCGGCCUGAGAGGGUGACCGGCCACACUGGGACUGAGACACGGCCCAGACUCCUACGGGAGGCAGCAGUGGGGAAUAUUGCACAAUGGGCGCAAGCCCGAUGCAGCAACGCCGCGUGAGGGAUGACGGCCUUCGGGUUGUAAACCUCUUUUAGUAGGGAAGGAGCGAAAGUGACGGUACCUGCAGAAAAAGCACCGGCUAACUACGUGCCAGCCGCCGCGGUAA
rnacentral:rRNA from 1 species